UUUAAAUUGAGAGUUUGAUCCUGGCUCAGGACGAACGCUGGCGGCGUGCCUAACACAUGCAAGUCGAGCGAUGAAGCUCCUUCGGGAGUGGAAUAGCGGCGGACGGGUGAGUAACACGUGGGUAACCUGCCUCAUAGAGGGGAAUAGCCUUCCGAAAGGGAGAUUAAUACCGCAUAACAUAACUUUAUCGCAUGGUAGAGUUAUCAAAGGAGUAAUCCGCUAUGAGAUGGACCCGCGGYGCAUUAGCUAGUUGGUGAGGU
rnacentral:rRNA from 1 species